AACUAAAAAGGACCAUAUCCCAACACGACUAGACAUAGUAACAUUGUAAUUAAAAUUGAAUCAGAUUCUUAUAUAUCCAUUGUGCUUGUAAAUCAUUAUAUACCCAUAUCAGAACGAGCCAUUCAAUAUCUACUAGAACAUUAACUUUCUUUUAUCAUGAAUCAAUCUAUAUUUUUAUAUAUCUAAAGAAGACCAAACGUACAAACACAUAACAAACUUUGAUCAUAUUCCAAUAUUCUUGACCCACACUAAAUUAAAGUUAUAAAUAUCCUGGGCCAUACCCUACCUCUUUCUUGUAUACUAAUUUUCUACAUCAACAACAUAUAUAGCCCCCACAGUAGGAUCAAAGAUGUUUAAUGUAUCAAGCUGAGAGUUUUUGACAAGUAAUUAUCAUCACUUGUCACACUGAUGAGAAAAAUAAGAUUUAGGAUUUGAACCAUAAAUUUUAAAAAUCCUAAAUCACUAAAUCUAACAUAUAAGGCGUAAUUUUUCAACAAUUAUUUAUCAUAUAAAUAAAGGGAAAAAGAAAAAAGAGAGUGAGCAAAUAUUUGACAAUUCGUUAUUAUGGGAACCUAGAUAUUUAUCUCACAAAAAUGUGUCUACAUUCAUCCAUCUGAACACUAGGACCAUAUCAUGGACAGGCAAUGAGACCAUAAUAACUAUUUAAUACUUGCUAUUUAUCACGUUACUUUAUUACCUUUCUUUAAAGAAUAUAAUCAAAGGUCGUUAAAAUUUCAUAGAGUAACGAAUCGUACGUAAUCAAUGAUGAGUCAGAAAUUUUCACGAAUAGAGCAAACGCUACCUCAUUAAAACCCAUGUUAGUGGUUUGAAACCGUUGACCUAUAACAGCCCAUUGUGUCACAUUUUACUUUAUAUAUGAUAUUUUUUUCCCACCAACGAAGGGUGUCAAUUAGACACCCCAACAUACACAUGGUUCCAACUACGUUAUAACUUCUUUGAGUAUAGUUUUGUGACACCCCUGAUACAAGGCAAAGUGAUUAUGCAAACUACGAUACAUUAAAAAAAUAAAAUAAAGAGCGAUAUAUAACUUAAAAGUAGUUUUAUAUCUUUUUGUUACUUUAUCCAUGCAUUUUUAGUCACAAGUGGCUUAGUCAUUCUAUAUGUAGGCGGUAUUAAAUAAUAUAUUAAUUGGUAUAUUGAGUUAUAUGAGGAUUAAAUUACAAAUCAAAUAUCAAACAAAAUUAUAUACUAUUGACUAUUUUUUUUGCCUAUACAUCAUAAUAAGUGACCCCAUAUAGUAUGAUUGUGGGGAAUACACUCGUACCGUCUUCAAUAAUAAUGUAUGUGACAUCUCUCCAACAAAGGGCAUACUGACAAAAAUAAUUAAUUAAUCAAGUUAAAAUAUUGACCGUAUAAAUAUAUGACAAUUGAGUCUAACUCAAUCCCUAAAAUUAGCUUAUGCAAUUUUUUUUAUCCAAAUCCAUGAAAAAAGACCAAUUUCUCACUGAUGUAAGACUUCUUAAAAAACUAAUAAUCUUUCAAAACAAGAAAAGUUCAUGUGAUAUACACGCUUUUAGAUCAAUUUCUCAUUCUGUUACCUUAAACUAUACUCGCUAUGUGUUAUAUGACGAAACAAGGAAAGUUGAUAUGAUAUACACACUUUUAGACCACUUGCUAACUCUAUAAUUUGGUACUCAAAUAAAUUUGUGCGAUCGAUCGAUUGGGACAAAGAAAGCAAUACUUUUCCGGAGAAACUUUUGACCAAAUAUAUUUAAAAUAAACAGAUUUUGAAAAUUUACAAAUUUAAAAAGAAAUUAUUCCUUGUUAAAUCAGCAAAAACGAAUGUAAGUUCUCAUGUAAUUGACUCCGCAGGAAAAUGAGGAAAAGAAUCUUAGGGCUGUAUUCGGAUUUCAGUACAUUGGAAAUCAUUGUAGAAAAUAUUUUCCAAUUUUUUCUCCAUCUUCCGCUGGUCAAAUUUUAGAAAAUUAUUUUCUCGAAGGAAACAAGAAGAAUUUAAAACAAGUUCCUUGCAAAACAGAAAAAAAAAAAACUGUCUCUAGCCAAUUUAAAAUUAAAAACAAAUUGCACAAGUAACAUGGAAUGAAAAAGAAAACGUAAUACAUAAAUAUAUCUCUUGAAUUAGCUUUAAACGGAUAAUUAUGACCUCUAACUUUGUGUUCGCACAAUGAAACAUUUAUGUCCUACACGCCCCGUAGGACUGGUAUCUCUCUACCUGUUCAAUUUUAUGAAAGCUUAAAUAUCUACUUAUACACACUCAAAACUGAAAGACAUAAUUGUUCAUCGAACCCAAGUUAGUUUAAGUAUUAUGCCCAAAAAUAAAAUAAAAAAAUCAAUGAUCCUACUUUCCCCCCAUAUCCACACCCACAAUCCACUAGCCCCAUCCCACCACUCCACACCUUCUACUACACCGACUUAUAUCUCUCAUGGUAUUUUAUUAAAAAAAGAAGAAGUAAGAAAUCAUUUAUUUAAAAAAAAAUAUUUUCUAAUACGUGUUGCUUUUUUCACUUUUUUUUUUAAAAAUAAAAUAAAAAUAAUCCGAUGUGAAUCAAUCUUCUGUAAAUACACCUCCUACCUGGUCUCUAAAUAAGAUAAUUUGAUAACCCGUUGUUAAUCCGCCCUAAUUCACUGUAAUUCCUGACAGAUUUUCUUAACGCCCAAUUUAAAUUACGAGAAAAUAAAACUCUCGAUCAAAAUCAAUUAACUAAGCAACUAAGAUUUCCGAAUAAGCCGUUGACCCGUAAAGAAACGGAAUUUAGGGUUAUUCAGUGCUGUGCAUUUACAGUGAAAAACGUCAUUAUAACAAUAGUGGGAGAGUACUAGUGACAGGUAAUGGUCGGGGUAACCCACCCACACUAAAUAAAUCAGUACUAAUCUUUAUUUGGUGUUCAUAUUUUCUUCCUAUAAAUAGGCCCCCCUCCAUAAAUUAUACAUAUAUAAAAUAAUCUCCCCCCAACCCUCUUUCUGCAUUAAACACCAACCACUCUAUAUUCAUUUUCUUCUUCUCUUCCGCUGUGUAUUAAUUUAACACUGUUUAUAGGGUAUUGAUUUGUGUAAAAUGUAGGGAGGAAAAAAAAAGAGGGGAAAAUGGAAUGGGUGAUAUUGUUGACAGAAGAUAGAGAGCACAUAUGAUGGAAUGCUGCUGCUGCUGCUGCUAAAUCUGGAGAGUCUUAACAAUAAAAAAAAGCAUUUCACUUCAUUUGUGCUCUCUAUGCUUCCGUCAUCCCUUUCAUCCUCUUCUCCUUCUAUUUUUCUCUUCUCUCUCCCUAAAUCUAUACAAUAACUCGUUCAAUUUUUAGGUUUUUCUUACUGGGGAAAUUUCUUCCAAUUUCUGUAAAAGGGAAGGUAGGGCACCUACCAUCAUUAUUCACCCAUAAUUAUCCCUUUUUUUUUCUUCUUCUUUUGAUGUGCAGGUUUCGUCAGAUGGAACAUCUGUACACUGUAUUAUUUUAUGUAUUAUGGGCCAACCAUUCUAUUGGAUGAGUUAAUCUGCUCAACUUCCAUCGACGAAUUGUCGGUUUGAACAUUGUUUUGAAUUUCUACAAGUAUAUGCUUUAACUUAAGCUUAGUUUCUGCAGCUGUGCUUGAAACACAUGAUUUGGAUCUCUCUCUCGACCUUACCUGAAGAGGUCAGGUUACAAUUUUACAAUAGGUAAUCUCUCCUCUCCUCUAUUCAUUAUCUCAACUUACUAUUACUUAUCAUGAACAUAAAUUUAUAUAGAAUAACUACUACCAAGUCUGAAUCCAUACUUUCGUAAUACUAAAAAUAUCAUGAAGGAUGAACUCGUAGAAUUUAAAUUCGAGAUCUGCCUAGUUAUAUUAGCUCAGUAAUUGAAGUAUAAUUAACAAUCACCGGAUGACAUAUUAUCUUAUCAUAUAUCGAAAGUGUAUGGUUUUAGGCUUAGUUGUUAACAACUAGUAUGUACUUAUAAAGGAUUAAUUAAGCAUGAAAAUUGCCUUUUCCUAAUGAAUUAGUUGGAUCUAUGGCUUCAUUUUCAGUGUCUUAUACUUUCCCUUCUGAUUUGUCCCCAAAGAGUCUCUCCAUCCAACAUUUUACCUCACAAGUUUAAGAUUAAGAGGAUUAAAAGACUACACACGAUGUUUUAUUUAAGAACCACAAAAUUAAAAAAAAAAAAACUCUCCAAUUAUUUUUUAAAACACUAAAGUAGAUCUCAAUUUUUUUUGGAACUACUGACCAUAUAGGGUAAUUAUUCACUAAAGUGCAAGUUUAAAGAUAUGUUAUCUUGUAGGAUAUUCUCUAUUGCUAACUGAUUCUAUCUGCUUCAUCUCAUCUAUAACUGAAUUGAUUCCGGUUGAAUUUUUUAGGGAUAUUUGGACUUCAAUCAGUAAGCAAAUCAAAAAGUUGAGCUAUGAUAUUUUAGGUUCAUGAAAACUUGACCCCUAUGAAGAAUAUAUGGAAGAACCAAAAGAAACCAUCUUAGAUUAUUAGGCUUUAACAAGACUAAGAGAUAAGAUGAUACCUUGUGUAUUCUGUAGAAACUGGAGAAAUCAACAUCCAAGAAUGAUUGGACUAAUUAAGCACUUAGCUUCUCAUAUAAUCAAAGAAGAAUCUUUCAUUUAUGUUGUCAUUGCAAUAGAUUGUUGCUGUUGAAAGUAGUGAUCCAGUGUUCACUCGAUCAUCAUGGUCCACAAUCGAGUCGAUCCUUCAAAAUGUAGCAAAUUGAAUUUUAGUAUAUACAUCAUAUAAAAGGUAUGUUUAUUGAAAACAACCUUGAUCUCUUAAAAUCUACGUAUAUCAUAACCUCCCCAUACCUGACUUGUGAGAUUAUUACACUACUGAAUACGUUGUUGUGUACUUGAUAAAAAAUGAGCUGGGAAAUACAUUAAACUAUGAAAUGCCAAUCCCUCAUAGUAUUGUUGUUCAUAACAGGAAGGAUUUUCACUCAUAACAGUCCUAAUUUUUGAAAUUUUAGACUCUUCUUAUUCCUCCUUUUUUCGUGUCACCACUUUCUUCCUUCAACUCCUAUACCGUUUUAUAAUGCAUUGAAAUAGUAUUUUACAUUGCAUGUUCAAUUCAUUUACAUUUGCAGUCAGAAUAGUAUUUUCCAUUACAUGUGCAAGUCAUUCAGCACAUUUUCCUCUUUGUGGUGGAGGUGGGGUUGGGGGGGACAGAGAGAAAGGAAACGGGUAGUGAAGUGAUGGUGACAAUGGUGGUAGGGAGAGACGAGGAGGAGGAAAGAGUGAUCGGUGAUGGAGGUAGUGACGGGAAAGAGAGGAGGAACCAAAAAAAUAAAAUAAAAUAGGGAGAGAGUCGAAUUUGACCUGAACUAUAUAUGUGAAAGGUUUACACUUGCUCCUCAUCAGCUUAUACGAAAGGAUCAAAUUUGCUCUCCGUUUUAUAAAAAUUAAUCCUUAAUCAGAGAAAUUUAGCUCUUUCUAAUAAUGGCCAAAAAAAUUAAUCCUUAAUUUGCAGAAAGUAAGCUGUUUCUAAUAAUGGCGAGAUAUAUGUAUUUAACCUCAAUUAUAAAUGAGAAGCGAAAUUGUCCCAUAUCACAUAAUUCUGGGGCAAAUUUGAUCCUUAAUAAAAGCAUAUUGAAGAUUAUCUAGUCUAGUGUAAAAAACAAAACGCGGGUUUUAUACUCUCUGUCCACAUUCAAAUUAAGCCGUUUUUAAAAAUUAAAUUAAAUGAAAAAAAUACAUCGUUAAUAUUAAUUUAAAUUCUUGGUAUUUGACCCUAAAAAAAGAAAGUUAUGACAAUUAAAAAUAAAAAUUAUAUUAUUGCUCCUUCCAUUUUAAUUUAUUUAUCCGAUUUCAAUUUUAUCAGAAUUUUAAAAAUAUAAAAAACUUUUAAACCUUAAUUCUUAAAUUAAAAAUAGAUAAAAUAUAUUAAUAUGUAAAAUCUUAAAAGAAAAUAAUUGCCAAAAGGGAAGCAAAUACGGUCAAAACAAACUAGGAAAAUAAGAAAAAACAAAUAGAAACCUCUUAUUAUUUAAAUAUCGUACUAUAAUGUUUGCACUAACGGAACAUCUACACCCGAGCAAUAAUGCAAGCACUAAUAUAUCCUAUUUUACAUUAUAUAAUUAUUCUUAUAUAAUCUAUCAAACGAUUCAUUAGGAAUAACUUUGGAUGACUUAAAAAUGUAAGAAAAAUAUUUUUAGUGGUAUAUAUAUCAGUUAUAUUAAUAUCCUAGUGGCUUCAGACUAGUUGGACGGAAUGAAUUUUUUCCACUAAUUUUUUUUAAAAAAAAACAAACAUCAAUGCUGUGAGAUUAAGAGGGCAAUAUACAAUAGAAUUUUUAACCAAACUAAGUUACUAAGUUAUUAUAUAAAACAAUUUACCAAAGUAAUACAUUUUUCUAAAAUUUUACAAAAUUAGUAUAAACGUAUUUCACGGUAACGUUUUAGGGUAUAUUUUAUUUUUAAAAAACUAACAGCAUUAGGUUGAUAUACUUACUUUUAAAACGUUAUUUUCAAUAACGUUUUACUCCUAAAACGUUACUAUGAGUAACAUUUUAGGAGUAAAACGUUACUGUGAGUAACGUAUAUCAAUCUGACGCCAUCAACUUUUAAAAAAUAAAAUAUAUCCUAAAACGUUAUUGUGGAAUACGUUUAUACUAGUUUUGUAAAAUUUUAGAAAAACAUAUUAUUUUGGUAAAUGAUUUUAUAUAAUGGCUUAGUUUGGUUAAAAUCCCUAUACAAUACAACUGGGUAUGUAUUGAUUGGACACCAAACAGGGUGGUGGAGUUUGAGAUUUCAGUGAUUUAACAGAGGCGGAUUCAGUAUUAAGAAUUUGAAUUCACAAAUUAUUUAAUUUUUUAAAUACAAAUAUAAGAUCUACGGAAAAAUUAUGACUUAAUCUGAAGUGAUGAAGCCCACCUACUCCUAACUAGGUCCAUGCCGAUGGAGUUUCUGUUCCCCCAAAUAUAGAGUCAGCUUUGUUGGAUAACACUUUACCCAAUUUUAGUCCAAAACUAGUUAACAAUAGCCUCCUAACGCCUAUACUUCAAAAGCUAGCAGACAACUUUGACAGUGAUUUUUGCAGCCCUCAUUCAAAAAAUGCCGUAUCUUUUGACUCUAACUCUUUUCAUUUGACUAUGAAUAUCUUGAGGUUGCUAACUCAAACUAAUUCGAAAAGUUUUACCAUUUGAAGGAAAUUGUAAAAACUAAAAAAUAUAAGCAGAAAAAGAAUCGGCAUAUAUAUAAAAUCAUAUUCUCCAAGGAACAGAAGAAUAAUAUUUCUGACCUGAUGAUAAAAAUGAGUGAAUCUGGAAAGAGGUGUAUGCUGGACCAAUAAUGUUAGCAUAUUUGAUCUGCUUCUUUUGUUUGUCACUUGCAAAAAUAUUCGCGAUGAUACAUUUCAAUGGCGGGGGCGAAGAGGGACCAAAAACAAAAAGGAGAGUGAAAGAUUGAUUUGAAAUUUGGAAUGUUUUUGUACUUAUUUGGGUGGAAAAUUGAAUUAGUACUAU
rnacentral:lncRNA from 1 species